GAAAGUAGAAAAGGGCGUAUGGUGGAUGCCUAGGCUCUCACAGGCGAUGAAGGACGUGACAAGCUGCGAUAAGCCACGGGGAGGCGCAAAUGGCCAUUGAUCCGUGGAUUUCCGAAUGGGACAACCCAGCAGUCUGAAGGACUGUUAUCCUCUUUAAGGAGGAGGCGAACGCGGGGAACUGAAACAUCUUAGUACCCGCAGGAAGAGAAAAUAAACGAAUGAUUCCCCCAGUAGUGGCGAGCGAACGGGGAAGAGCCCAAACCACAGAGGUUCCGGCCUCUGUGGGGUUGUAGGACCGCGACGUGGCAAGCAGCAUAGUGAGCACAAGCCUCUGGAAAGGGGCCCCAUAGACGGUGACAGGCCGGUGUGCGAAGCGAUGCGAAGCCUAGCGGUAUCCUGAGUAGCGCGGGGCACGAGAAAUCCUGUGUGAAUCCGCCGGGACCAUCCGGCAAGGCUAAAUACUCGUGAGAGACCGAUAGUGAACCAGUACCGUGAGGGAAAGGUGAAAAGCACCCCUUUUAGGGGAGUGAAAGAGUUCCUGAAACCAUACGCCUACAAGCGGUCGGAGCACCUUCAUGGUGUGACGGCGUGCCUUUUGCAUAAUGAACCUACGAGUUGCCGUCAGUGGCAAGGUUAAGUGACUUUUGAGUCACGCAGCCGCAGCGAAAGCGAGUCUGAAACGGGCGCCAUAGUCACUGGAGGCAGACGCGAAACCGAGUGAUCUACACAUGUCCAGGAUGAAGUCCCGGUAACACGGGAUGGAGGUCCGAACGGAUAAGCGUUGAAAAGCUUCCCGAUGAGGUGUGUGUAGGAGUGAAAGGCCAAUCAAACUCGGAGAUAGCUCGUACUCCCCGAAAGGCAUUUAGGUGCCGCCUCGGGUGUUUCCCGCAUGAGGUAGAGCGACUGAUUGGAUGCGAGGGCUUCACCGCCUAUCAAGUCCAGACAAACUCCGAAUGCGUGCGGGUGAAGCCCGGGAGUAAGGGCGUGGGUGCUAAGGUCCACGCCCGAGAGGAGAAGAAUCCAGACCACCGGCUAAGGUCCCGAAAUACUGGUUAAGUUAGUCUAACGAAGUCCGGCCCCCAAGACAGCUAGGAUGUUGGCUUGGAAGCAGCCAUUCAUUCAAAGAGUGCGUAACAGCUCACUAGUCGAGGAGCUGGGCAUGGAUAAUAAUCGGGUAUGAAACCAGUUACCGAAGCCGUGGAAUCCAUUGAGGAUUGGUAGGGGAGCAUUCCCAUCGGCGUCGAAGGCGCAGCGCGAGCUGCUCUGGAGCGUUGGGAAAAGCAAAUGUAGGUAUAAGUAACGAUAAAGGGGGUGGGAUGCCCCCUCGCCGCAAGACCAAGGUUUCCCGGGCAACGUUAAUCGUCCCGGGGUCAGUCGGGUCCUAAGGAUAAGCCGAAAGGCGAGGCCGAUGGCAGAAACGGUUAAUAUUCCGUUACUGCCGCAGCGCGUGAUGUGGUGACGGAGAAGUGACACGGCCGCCCCCUGACGGAAUAGGGGGUUGAAGGGCGUAUGCGUUGAAUGGGGCAGGCAAAUCCACCCCAUGAGCAGAACCCCGAUAGUACACCGGACCCUUCGGGGCGAGGUGAUAGCGCCGGUAACCAGACUCCCGAGAAAACCCGCUAAACAGCAACGCUGCGGCACCCGUACCGUAAACGGACACACGUGGUCGGGUUGAGCAUACUAAGGCGCUUGGGUGAAUCACGGUUAAGGAACUAGGCAAAAUGACCCUGUAACUUCGGGAGAAAGGGUCCCCGCUGGAUGGCGGGGCGCAGAGAAUAGGUCCAGGCAACUGUUUAACAAAAACACAGGGCUGUGCAAAAUCGCGAGAUGCGGUAUACAGCCUGACACCUGCCCGGUGCCGGAAGGUUAAGAGGAGAUGUCACCAGCAAUGGGAAGCAUUGAAUUGAAGCCCCGGUAAACGGCGGCCGUAACUAUAACGGUCCUAAGGUAGCGAAAUUCCUUGUCGGGUAAGUUC
rnacentral:rRNA from 1 species